rnacentral:rRNA from 1 species
UACGUAGGGUGCAAGCGUUAAUCGGAAUUACUGGGCGUAAAGCGUGCGCAGGCGGUUGUGCAAGACAGAUGUGAAAUCCCCGGGCUCAACCUGGGAACUGCAUUUGUGACUGCACGGCUAGAGUGUGUCAGAGGGGGGUGGAAUUCCACGUGUAGCAGUGAAAUGCGUAGAUAUGUGGAGGAAUACCGAUGGCGAAGGCAGCCCCCUGGGAUAACACUGACGCUCAGGCACGAAAGCGUGGGGAGCAAACGGG